rnacentral:lncRNA from 1 species
UUUAAUUUUUCUUGUAAGAAGUGGAAGUCAUCAUCAUCAUCAUCACUUGAGUUUUCUCUCAAGUGGUUUUCUUUGGUUCUAAGUGUCAUGUUCUUCCUGUUCUUUAGAAGAUUAUUCUAAUAUUUAUCAUGUGGCAUACAUAUCAUUUCAUAGGUCAUUAAAGACCUGAUAAGUUCUUCAAGCGAAAAAUUGUUCAAGUCCUUUGCUUCUUGUAUUGCCAUUACUUUUGAAUCUCAACUUUUUGGAAGGGAUCUUAGUAUUUUAUUUACAAGUUCAAAGUUAGAAAAACUUUUAUCAAGUAUUUUUAAACUAGUAACAAUAUCCGUAAAAUGGGUGUACAUGUCUCCAAUGGUCUCACUUGGUUUCAUUCGAAACAACUCAUAACUAUGCAUUAAAAGAUUAAUUUUCGACUCUUUAACUCUACUUGUGCCUUUAUGUGUGACUUCGAGUGUGUAUCACAUAUUAUGUGUAGUUUCAUGUAUAGAAACCCGAUUAAAUUCAUUUUUUCUAAAGCACAAAACAAAGCGUUCAUCGCUUUAGCAUUCAAAGAAAAAGUCUUCCUCUCUAAAUCAUUUCAUUUAUUCAUUGGUUUAGAAGACAUUUGAAAUACCACUUUCAACGAUAUUCCAUAAAGUGAAAUCUAUAGAAAUCAGAAAAAUUCUUAUACGACUUUUUUAAUACAUGUAGUAUGUCCCGUUAAACAUAGGAGGACGAGUGAUAGAUUGACCCUCUAGAUUAUCGAUGAAAGUCAUUCUCUUGGGUGUUAAACAAAUCAAGAAAAACUUGGCUCUGAUACCAACGGUUAGGAUCGAAAUUGGCACUAAGAGGGGCGGUGAAUUAGUGCUUUUGGAAAACUUUCGUCGAUUCAAAAAAAUCUCAUUCGAUGAAAACCAAUACCGAGUGCACUUUACUUAAAGAAAGUGCAAGGUGGAGUGAGCAACAAAAUUAGUAAACAAUAAAGAUAAACAGCGAAGAAGAGUGCACACCGGAUUUAUAGUGGUUCGGUCAUCGUGACCUACGUCCACCCCCGAUUCCUCCUCCGUCGAGGCCACUCGCAUUCACUAACAAUCUUCUUUCAAUGGGUGAAGACCAACUACCCUCUUACAACUCUUUCUUCUUUUCAUAGGUUUAGGAAAAAAUCUUUACAAGUCACUCACUCCUCCCUUAAACAGAUAUCUAAACUUAGAACAAGAGGAGGAGAACUCUCAAAGAAUUACAACAACGUUUUCUCACUUAGACCAUAAGUUUUUGUUCACUUUUCAUGCUUUGUUAAGUAAGAAAGAUUAGGGUAUUUAUAGGCCCCAAAUGGCUUCAAAAAUGAAGCUAAAAAGUGUCUCAUCUCAGAUUUUCGGGGUACUGACGGCACCACCACUAUUAUUGGGCGGUACCAUCGUCUGCCAGACUAACAACUGGUGGUAUCACACCUUGUCAAUCUGAUACUGGGUGGUUCCACCACCCAAUCUAACACUGACACUAGGUGGUACCACCACUCGGUCUAUGUGGUACUACUGCUUGAUAGCCUCGGAGACUAGGCUCCAACGGUACCACCGCUUGUAAGGGCAGUACCACCGCCUGUUAGGGCAGUACCAUGGCUUGAGACUAGGUGGUACCACCACUAGUCUAGGUGAGACCACUGCCCAGUUAGGGGAUGGGAGACUAAGCGUGUUACCAUUGGGACAUCGCUCUUGCAGUUGCAAGCAGCUUGCUUGCGGGUGCCCUACCCGCAGGCGUCGCCACUGCAAGCAAGUCACCGACCACCUGCACGCAAAUGGCAACCAAGGCUACAAGUAGCCUUUGGCCAAUCUGCGAGGGCAGGAAGGGUAGCAUUAGUUACUGCCAUUUCUCCCCUUUGGCAUCAAUAAUUUUGACGUCAAAAGCCUUUCUAAAAUACAAUACAUUAGUUUAAAAUUUAAUCUUUCACACGAACAACCUGGCUCUAAUACCACUGUCGGAAAAUUUGAGAGGCAACAUCACAUGCGCAGUAAAAGAACAAAAAGAAAAAUCUUAGAUUUCCAUAAAAAUGUUUCAUCGUCAGGCAAAGUUUGGUGUCCAAAAAUCGUAAAAUAAAAAAUCACACAUAUAAGAGAGAUGUGUUUUACCUAGGGAGAUCAUUGUUAGUAUCGUGAAUGACACUAAGAGGGGGGGUGAAUUAGUGCUAUCACAAACUUUCGACGAUUUUAAAAAAUUACAUUAGAUAAAGCUCGUAACGGAGAUGCAUUUAAACUUAAAAACAUUCUUAAGAGUGUAAGCAAAAGUAGUAUAUAGUUAAAUAAGAAGGCAAUGAAGGUAAACAAUAAAAGAAAAGAGCACACCUGAUUUAUAGUGGUUUAGUCGUCGUGACCUACGUCCACUCUCGAUUCCUCCUCCAUCGAGGCCACUAGCUUCUAUUAGCGAUCUUCUUUCAAUGGGCGAAUAUCAACUACCAUCUUACAACUCUUUCUCCUUUUCAUAAGUUUAGGAGAUAAUCUUUAUAAGUCUCACACCUCUCUUAGGAUGAUCACAAAUCUUAAGGAAGAGGAGGACACCUAGCACUUUUUCAAGACUUGUACAACUCAGAAUCUCAUGGCUUUUAUUCACUUUUUCAUGCUUUAGCAAGUAGGAAAGAUUGGGAUAUUUAUAGGCCCCAAAUGACUUUAAAAAUUGAGCUAAAAAGUAUCUCAUCCUGGGUUUCUGGGGUACUAGCAGUACCACUACUAGUAUUGGGCGAUACCACGUACUAGGUGGUACCACCGCCUACUCCCCUAACAACUAGUGGUACUACCACCAGUCUAAGCGAUACGACCACCUAACAGAGCCUCAGAGACUGGGCUCUAGCGGUACCACCGCUUGACAAGGCGGUACCACUGCUUGACAGUAUUAAUUGUCGAUAUCACCACCGCCUAGACAAGUUCUGAGAGGCCGAGCCUCAGGCGGUUCCACCGCUAGUCCUAGUGGUGCCACCGCCUGACGUGGCUCUAGGUCACUGAAUGAGCCAAACAACAGGCCUAAUUCAGCCCUAAUUUGGGCCCUAGUUGGCCCCUAAUUGAGUUAGUAGGGUUACACCCAAACCUAACUCAAAUUAAGACCUAACUACAAUGAUUAAGACUUAAACAAUCACAAAACAAGAAGCUACGUUAUCUAGCACAUCAUUUGUUCAUCCAAACUCCUAGGGAACUUCCAAUUCAUCAUCUGAACCUUUGGUGUAUCGCCUGAUCUAUCGGCAUGUUGACUCCCACAACGUUUGAUCUUAGUGCAACGUCUGAUUCUUCCAGCACGAUGCUCGAUCUCUGACUCCGGCCCAACUUCUAAUUGUUUUACUUUAAUUAUUUUGCCUUUUCAUAAUCGUAGUUAGUUCUGCAUCACUUUUCUUAAAAUAUGGAUUAGAUCGUAAAUUCAUCAAUUGAUUUCAUCAUCAAAAUCUGAGAUUCAAUAAUCUCUCCCUUUUUUAUGAUGACAACCAAUUGAUGGAGUUAACCUUAACUCUCCCUAUCUAUAUGUCAUAUCAAAAUAAGGCAAAUUUGAAUUCAAAAGGAAUAAUAACAUUUGAAUUAAAGUGAAACAAUUUUGAUCAUAUCCAACAUAUAUGUGCGUCAUCAUUUAAACAUAGUUUCAAAUCAUUAAAGUAUAACAUGCACAAUUACAACUCAUCAUCACUUAUAACAUGCAUGAUAUCAAAACAAUAAUAUUUUUAAAUCAUUCAUCACAACUUCUCCCCUUUUAUCAUCAAUAAAAAGGAGAAAAAUACAACUAAUAAUUUUUAAAACAUGCAAGCUAGCAAUUUUUACAUCACUUUAGAACAUACAAGCUAGCAAGUCUUAGAUAUAUGAAAGUUAGUAAUAUUUGCUUCUAACUGAAAUGUAUAAGCUAGUAAUUCUUACUUCUCUUUUGAGAUGUGCAUGUUUGUAAGUUUAUGGGCAAGCUAGCCUUCUUGGUUCUCUUGAGAUAUGCAAGAUAGUACUUUUCUUUCUCCCCUUUAUCAUUAUAAAAAAAAGAAGAGGUGAAGAAUUUAAUGGUGCAAAAAUUUCAAUCAUUACAUGAAUCCGAAAUAUCAUGUUAUGAAUCCGAAAUAUUAUGAAUCAUUUUGACAAUUCUUCUUUUUGUAAAAAGUGAAAAGACUCAAGUCAUGAAAACUCAAGAGAAUAAUAGGAAAUCAAUUGUGCAAAAAUUUCAACCAUCAUAUGAACGAAAGAAAGAUCUAGUCAUGAAUAUGAAAGUUUAUGAAUCAAAGCUCUACUUUUGCAAAUAGAAAGAGGAAGGAUUCAUGAUCAUUAUACGUAAAAUAAAAGAUCAAGUUGUGAAUACUAAAAGUUUAUGAAUCAAAUCUCUUCUUUUGUAAAUAGUAAGAAGAAGGAAUGAUUGGAAACGAUCUCGAUUUAAAAAGAAAACUCAAGUUACUAAAAAUCGAGAAAUCCAAAAUAUGUAUAAGAGGAAUUCAUGCAUUAGGAAGAUUUAACAUGCCUAAUUCUCUUAUGAUAAAAUUAAAUUAUUUCUCAUUCAAUGGUUUUGUAAAAAUAUCAGCUAAUUGAUAUUUUGUAUCCAUAAAUUCUAGAGAUAUAUCAUAGUUAUUACAUGAUCUCUAAUAAAAUAAUACAUAAUAUCAAUAUGUUUAGUUCUCGAGUGUUGAAUGAGAUUUUUUGUUAAACAAAUAGCACUGGUAUUAUCGUAUUUUAUAGAGAUGUUUUUCAAAUAAAUUUUAUUCAAAUAACUUAUGCACAACAUGCACCUAUUGCUACAUAUUCAACCUCGGUCGUAGAUAAUGCAACCGAAUUUUAUUUCUUAGAAGACAAAGAAACAAGUGACUGACCUAAGAGUUGACAUGUUCCAGAUGUAGAUUUUCUAUCUAUUCUACAUCCACCAAAGUCAGCAUGGGCAUAAGCAAUUAAUUUAAAUUUGUUGCAUUUUGGAUAUCAUAAUCCUUAUUAGGAGUUCUUUUUACAUAUCUGAAAAUCCUCUUAACAGCUUUUAGGUGAGAUUGCUUAGGAUUAGAUUAAAAUCUAGUACUAAACAUAAUAUCAUGUCUAGUUAUUGUAAGGUAUAGUAAACUAGAUAUCAUACCCCAUAAGUCUUUUGAUCAAAACAUUCUCCAUCAAUGUUCAUAUCUAAUUUUAUAGAAGUGCUCAUUGGUAUAUUAAUAGCCUUAGCACUAUCCAUAUUAAAUCGCUUUAAUAGAUCUAAAGCAUACUUAAUUUAACUAACAAAGGUUUUGUUAAAUCUUGGAUUUUGAUGAUGAAGUUAAUUGUCAUUUGGUUAUCUAAUCCGUAUAUUGAGAUAAGUGUACAGGAUUAACUAUGAUGGCAGUAAGACAUGCAGCAGGUGUUAAGCCGGAGUCAAGAUCAAGAUCACAUUGGGGGUUCGAGAGUUCGUCGGAAGUCCGGACGGUCAUCGGAGGUUCUACGAGAAUAUUUCGAGAAGUCCAGGAGUUUGCCAUAGAAGCUUGUCGGAACUCACCAAGAGGAUCGUCGCAAGUCUAAGAGUUUGCCGGGAGUCCACCAGAGCAUCGUCGAGGGUUCAUCGGAUGUUCAUCGGAAGUUUGCCGGAAGCUCGCCGGAAGAAGCGAUUGAUGCACCGGAACAUGAUCUGCAGUAUUGAUGUCUUAAUUAUCGUAGUUAGCAUAUAGAUUAAGUUAGGAUUGGGAGGUGAUCCCAUUAACUUAAUUUGGGGCCAAUUGGGCCCUUGGCAGACACAAAUUGGGCCGAAUGGAUCAGCCCAUUCGGACCUAGAAUUCGUGGCCGGUGGUGGCACCGCCUAGGAGACUCGGUCUCCCAAGAGUUCUGGGUGAUAAUACCGCCCUUGUCAGGUAGUGGUACCGUCAGGACCCCGGAAAUCCAGGAAUGGACACUUUUGAGCUUCGAAUUCAAACUGAUUGGGGCCUAUAUAAACCCCACCAUUUCUUACAUGAAAGGGCACCGAAAGCUUGCUUUUAUUCUGAGUAUUUGAGAGCUUAAAAGUGUUGAAAAAGGCUAGAAUUCCUCUCCCUCUUUUCUUUCUAAGUCUUGAUCAUUCAAGAGAGGAGUGAAAACUUGUAAGGAUUGUCUCCUAAGCCCGUCAAAAGGAGAAAAGCUGUAAAAGAGUGGUUGGCCUUCGCCUAUUGAAGGAAGGCCUCUAAUAGAUGUUGGUGACCUCAUCAGAGGAGGAAACCAAAAGUAGAUGUAGGUCAAGAUUGACUGAACCACUCUAAAUCUCAGUUUGCAUUUACAUUCUACUCUUUAUCUUAACUGCAAACUGCCUCCGUUGCUUUACAGCAACUAUACUUCCGUUUGCUCUCAAGUUAAAGAUCUUUCCGAAAUGAUUUUCGUACAAAGUCUUUUUGAACCAAUAAAAGUUUUCCGCUAUACUAAUUCACACCCCCCCCCUCUCUCCCCCUCUUAGUGCUCUUGAUCCUAAUAGUUGGUAUCAGAAUGGGUUCACUCUCAGUUGGAUUAAAACCCAAAAGAGAUGACAUAUGCUGGAAACCAAGAGGGUCACUCUAUUACAUGAUCACCCAUGUUCAAUGGGAUGGAUUACACCUAUUGGAAGACCCGAAUAAGGAUCUUCCUUAUUUCCAUAGAUUUUGAACUUUGGAAUAUUGUUGAAAAUAGAUUUUUAAAGUCUUCUCUUCCAAUGAUCAAUUGGAAUGAAUUGGAGAAGAAGACUUUCGCUCUAAAUGCAAAGGCUAUGAAUGCCUUAUUUUGUGCACUUGAUAAAAACGAGUUCAACCAUGCUUCGAUUCGUGAAACUGCAUUUGAUAUUUGGCAUACACUCGAAGUGACUCACGAAGGUACGAGUAGAUUGAAAGAGUCAAAAAUCAAUCUUUUAGUAUAUUCUUAUGAAAUUUUUUGAAUGAAACCAAGCGAGACAAUAGGUGACAUGUACACCCGUUUCAUGGAUGUCAUCAAUGGUCUAAAAGGACUUGGUAAAAGUUUUUCAGAUUUUGAGCUCGUUAAUAAAAUUCUAAGAUCCCUUCUAAAGAGUUGGGACCCUAAAGUCAUUGCUAUUCAAGAGGCUAAAGAUUUAAACAACUUCCCUCUUGAAGAAUUAAUUGAGUCAUUAAUGACCUACGAAAUGACUUGCAAAGCUUGUGAAGAGCAUGAGGACACCCUUCCAAAGAACAAGAAGGAUAUGACACUUAAAACUCAAGAAGACCACUUGAGAUAAAACUCAAGUGAUGAGGACUUUGACGAUGACUUGGCACUUCUAAUAAGGAAAUUUAAAAAAUUCAUUAAAAGAAACAAAUUUAAAAAUAACACUAAAAAUAAAUUUGAACCCAAAAAGGACCAAGUUAUUUGCUACGAAUGUAAGAAGUCGGUACACUAUAAAAGUGAUUGUCCCCAAGCCAAGAAGAGAACAUCAAAGAAGAAAGCGCUCAAAGCAACGUGGGAUUACUCAAGCGCAUUCGAAAAAGAGGAGUCCAACACCAAGCAAGUUGCUCAUUAUGUACUCAUGGCCAUUAGAGAGGAGGUAUCAAAUGUAAUUGAUGCAGAUUUAUCAUUUGAUGAAUUGUUAAAUGCUUUCCAUAAUUUAUUUGAUGAAUGCAAAAUAAUUAGUAUAAAAUAUAAAUUAUUAAAAAAGGAGCAUGAUAUUCUUGUUAGUAAUUUUGAUAAAUUAAAAAUUAAACAUAAUGAUAGUUUAGUUCUAUGUACGAAAUGCCAUGACUUAGAAGUACUCUAAAAUGAGAACUUGCUACUCAAGGACACCUUAAAGAAAUUUGAGGUUAGUAGCAAGUCCUUGAACAUGAUCCUUACUGAUAAGGGUCACGUUCCUAAAAGAAAUGGAAUCGGAUUUGUGAGAAGCUCUCACCAAAAUCCAACCCCUUUCAUUAAAGGCCCUAUCUUGCAUGUUUCGUAUCAAAACAAGUGCAACUUUUGUUGCAAACAUACAUAUAGAACUUAUCAUUUUCCAUUCAAGAAGAUUAGUCCUAACAAAUUGAUUUGGGUUCCUAAAAGAACCGUAAUAAAUUUCAUGCAACAUGACAAACAAUUUAGAUCGGUUUUUUAGGCACCCAAGAUUAAAUGGGUACCUAAUAUUUAUCCUUUUUUGUAGAAAUAUAUAUCACCAUAAGCUAGGAACAAAAGAUGGUGCCUUGAUAAUGGAUGCUCAAGGCAUAUGACUAGAGAUCCAUCUCAAUUCUCUAAGCUCACUAGCAUAGACGAAGGCUACGUCACCUUCAGAGACAACAACAAGGGUAAAAUAAUUGGCAAAGGAACUAUAGGAAACAAAUCCAACUUCUUUAUUGAAGAUGUUUUGUUAGUUGAUGGUUUAAAACAUAACCUCUUGAGCAUUAGUCAAUUGUGUGAUAAAAGAUAUAUUGUCAAAUUAGAAUCUAAUACUUGCAUCAUUGAAAAACUACACAAAAACACAUCUAUGAUUGCAUUAAAACAAAAUAACGUAUACACCAUUGACAUCAAUGAUCUUUAUAAUGAAAUGUGUUUCUCAAUUUUGAAUGACGAUGCUUGGCUUUGGCAUAGGAGAUUAGGUCAUACUAGCAUGAAACUAAUCAUCCAAAUUUCAUCCAAAGAACUUGUAAGAGGAAUUCCUCAUAUCAAGUUCAUCAAAGAUAAUAUGUGUGAUGCUUGUUAAUUAGGAAAACAAAUAAAGGGUAGCUUUAAAUCUAAGAAUCAAAUAAGCACCUCUAGACCUUUGCAAUUGAUCCAUAUGGACUUAUUCGGAUCAAUCUCUACAUCAAGCCUAGGAGAUAGCAAAUACGCUUUUGUUAUUGUAGAUGAUUAUAGUAGAUACAUAUGAACUUAUUUCUUGAAACACAAAAGUGAAUGCUUUAGAUAUUUCACCAAGUUUUGUAAACUUGUUCAAAAUGAAAAGGGUUCUAUAAUUUUAUCAAUUCGAAGUGAUCAUGGUGGUGAAUUUCAAAACCGUGAUUUCUAAGAAUUUUGUAAAUCUAAUGGAUACAACAAUAAUUUCUCUACUCCAAGAAAUUAUCAACAAAAUGGAGUAGUAGAAAGAAAGAAUAGAAAUUUACAAGAAAUGACAAGAAUCAUGUUGAAUGAACAUAGUCUACCCAAAUCUUUUUGGGCCGAAGCCGUAAACACGGCAUGCUAUGUUAUGAAUAGAAUUUUAGUAAGACCCUUACUCACCAAAACCCCUUAUGAGUUGUGGAACAAUAAAAAAUCCAAUGUUUCAUAUUUUAAAGUUUUUGGGUAUAAGUGUUUUAUAUUGAAUGAAAAAGAUGCCUUAAGAAAAUUUGAUGCUAAAUCCGAUGAAGGAAUUUUUCUUGGUUAUUCGUCGAUUUCUAAAGCAUUUCGUAUCUUCAAUAAAAGAACUUUAAUUAUAGAAGAAUCCAUUCAUGUUGUUUUCAAUGAGAUUUCCGAAAUCAAGAAAAAUAAUUUUGAUGAUAAUGUUUAUUUUGAUUCCUUGAAUUUAAAUGAAACCCCUUCUCCAACUAGCAACUUGGAUGCAUCCACUUCCGAAACAUUCUUACUUCCGAAAUCAAGAAAAACGAUUUUGAUGAUGAUGUUAAUUUUGAUUCCUUGAAUUUAAAUGAAACCCCUUCUCCAACUAGCAACUUGGAUGCAUCCACUUUCGAAACAUCCUUACCCAAGGAUUGGAAGUAUGUAGAUGCUCAUCCUAAGGAGCUAAUCAUAGGAGACACAUCUAAAGGGGUUCAAACACGUUCUUCUCUUCAAAAAUUUUGUGCCAAUGCCGCUUUUCUCUCCCAAAUUAAACCUAAAUGUAUUGACAAAGCCAUGAAAGAUGAUUCAUAGAUUAUCGCAAUGUAAGAUGAGUUAAAUCAAUUUGAGAGAAAUGAGGUGUGGAAGCUUGUUCCCAAGCCAAAUGACCAUUUAGUUAUUGGUACUAAAUGGGUCUUUAGAAAUAAGUAAGAUGAAUCUGGUAUCGUGGUUAGAAACAAGGCUAGAUUAGUGGCCAAAGGUUUCAACCAAGAAGAAUGUAUCGAUUACGAAGAAACCUUCGCUCAUGUGGCUCAAUUAGAAGCCAUAAGGAUGCUCCUUGCCUAUGCUAGUAGUAAUAAUUUUAAGUUAUUUCAAAUGGAUGUUAAAAGCACUUUUCUUAAUAGCUUUAUUUUCGAAGAAGUUUAUGUUGAACAACCUCCCAGAUUUGAAAAUAAUAGUCUCCCUAAUCAUAUGUUUAAAUUAACUAAAGCUCUCUAUGGUUUAAAACAAGCCUCAAGGGCUUGGUACGAGAGACUUAGCUCUUUUCUUAUUAAAAAUAAUUUCUCUAAAGGCAAGGUCGAUACUACAUUGUUUAUCAAAAAUUUUAAAAAUAAUUUUCUCAUUGUUCGGAUUUAUGUUGAUUAUAUUAUCUUCGGUUCUAAGAACGAAUCUCUUUAUAAAUCUUUUGCUAAAACUAUGAGCUUUGAAUUUGAAAUGAUGAUGGGAGAAUUAACCUUCUUUUUAGGCUUACAAAUUAAGCAACUAAGUAAUGACAUCUUUAUUAGUCAAACUAAAUAUGCUUUAGAUUUGCUAAAAAGAUUUAUUAUGGAUAGCUCAAAAGCUAUCAACAAUCCUAUAAGCACCUCCACUAAGUUAGAAAUUGAUGAAAGUGAAAAAAGUUUUGAUCAAAAAACUUAUAAGGGUAUGAUAGGAAGUUUACUUUACCUCACUACAACUAGACCAGAUAUCAUGUUCAGUGUAGGACUUUGUGCUAGGUUUCAAUCGAAUCCUAAGAUAUCUCAUCUCAAAGUGUUAAAAAAAUACUUAGAUAUCUUAAAGGUACCAUAAAUCUAGGAUUAUGGUAUCCAAAAUCCGAGAAUUUUGAGCUAAUUGCUUAUGCUGAUGCAGAUUUUGCUGGGUGUAGACUAGAUAGAAAAAGCACAUCAGGAACAUGUCAAUUUUUAGGACAUGCCUUUGUUUCCUGGUCAUCUAAGAAACAAAACUCGGUUGCACUAUCAACAAUCGAAGCUGAAUAUAUUGCAGCUAGUGCAUGCUAUGCAUAAUUUAUGUGGAUGAAAAACACCUUAGAAGAUUAUAAAGUUCAUCUUAAAAAUAUUCUCAUUAAAUAUGAUAACACAAGUGUAAUAUGCUUAACAAAGAAUCUCAUUCAACACUUUAGAACAAAGCAUAUUGAUAUUAGACAUCACUUUAUACGAGAUCAUGUCACUAAUCAUGUUGUAAUUAUGGAGUUCAUUGAUACUAAACAUCAACUAGCUGAUAUUUUUACAAAGCCUUUAAGUGAAGAACAAUUUGAUUUCAUCAGAAGAGAAUUAGGAAUGUUGAUUUGUCUGAAUGCAUGAUUUUGUAUUUCUCUUUCGAAUUAAAUAUAUUUCCUGAAUGGAGCUUUCAUGAGCCUAUGUCAUAUCAAGUUUAUUUCAUAUCAAUGCUCCAUGAUUUUUGACAUAUAGAAUUGAUUAACAAAUGCAUCUCUCAUGGAUUUACCUUGUGAAAAAUGAUUUUUAAUCGAGAAAUAGAUUUAAUGAAUGAAUUCCUUCUUGAUGAAGGAAGACUUUUUUUAAUAAACACUUGCAAGAAUUUAAUUUCACAUGUAUAUCUUGAUUCUUAUAAAGAUGAAGCAUGAUUUAAUCUCUUAUCAUUUUUAACUUCAUUCAAAGUUAGUUCACAAUGGCUUUCCUCCUUCAUGCAAAACGUUAAUGACAAACAAGGAAGAAGUAAUGAAAGCUAUCUCCUUAAUGGACUUUUGAAUGAUACCACGUCAUGAUUGCUUGAAAAAUAAUCUGUAUGAGUGGUAUCUUAUGGUUGAAAAAUAAUAUGAAUCUUUACCACACUCAUUACUAUGGUUGAAAUAUACUUGAAUUAUUCUCCUUUUUGUUGAUGACAAAGGGGGAGAAAUAUGUGGUAAAUUGAUGAUAUGAUGAAUUGCUAUGAUUGCCAUAUUUGCAUUAAUGAUAAUAUAUCUAGAGCUUACAUUGUAAUUUUACAAUGUUGAUAUCUUGCCAUAUGAUGAAUUGCUAUGAUUGUCAUAUUUGCAUCAUGUUAAGAUAUCUAGAACUUACAUCGCAAUCUUACAAAUUGAUAUCUUAUCAUGUGAUGAAUUGCUACGAUUGCUAUCUUUCACAUAUGAAAAUAUAAGACUUGAAAAUGGAUGUCAAGCCUUGACAUCAUUUUCAAAAAGAUACAUCAUGAUAGGAAUCAUGAUGGGGGUAUUGAUAAGUUUAAAUGAACUUAACUUAUCAAUAUGUCUCUUGAAUUCAAAGGCUUUGAAUUCAAUAAUAACUUAUCUCAAGUAUGACAUAUAGAUAGGGGGAGUUAAGGUUAAAUCCGUCAUCAAUUGAUUGUCGUCAUAAAAAAGGGGGAGAUUGCUGAAUCUCGGAUUUUGAUGAUGAAAUCAAUUGUCAUUUGGUUAUCAAAUCCGUAUGUUGAGAUAAGUAUGCAGAAUUAACUACGAUGGUAGUAAGACAUGCAGUAGGUGUUAAGCCGGAGUCAAGACCAAGAUCACGUUGGGGGUUCGAGAGUUCGUCGGAAGUUCGGACGGUCGUCGGAGGUUCUGCGGGAACAAUCCGAGAAGUCUAGGAGCUUACUAAAGAAGCUCGUCGAAACUCGCCAAGAGGAUCGUCGCAAGUCCAGGAGUUUGCCGAGAGUCCGCCGGAGCAUCACCGAGGGUUCGUCGAAUGUUCGCCGGAAGUUUGCCGGAAGCUCGUCGGAAGAAGCGAUUGACGCACCGGAACACGAUCUGCAGUAUUGAUGUAUUAAUUGUCGUAGUUAGCAUGUAGAUUAAGUUAGGAUUGGGAGGUGAUUCCAUUAACUUAAACUGGGGCCAACUGGGCCCUUGGUAGACCCAAAUUGGGUUGAAUGGAUCAGCCCAUUCGGACCCAGAAUUCCUGGCCGGUGGUGGCACCGACCAAGAGACUCGGUCUCUUAAGAGUUCUGGGCGGUAGUACCAUCCCUAUCAAGCGGUGGUAUCACCGGCAGUUAUUACUACCAACGGUGGUACCGCCCUUGUCAGGCGGUAGUACCGCUUGAGCUCGGUCUCCGAGCGAUGUCAGGUGGUAGUACCACCCAGACUGAGUGGUAGUACCACUCAGUGAUAGAUAACAGGGGGUAGUACCGCCCAAUUAUGGCUAUGGUACGGCCAGGACCCCGAAAAUCCGGGAAUGGAUACUUUUGAGCUCCGAAUUCAAACUGAUUGGGGCCUAUAUAAACCCCACCCUUUCCUGCUUGAAAGGGCACCGAAAGCUUGCUUUUAUUCUGAGGAUUUGAGAGCUUAAAAGUGUUGAAAAAGGCUAGAAUUCCUCCCCCUCUUUUCUUUCUAAGUCUUGAUCAUUCAAGAGAGGAGUGAAAACCUGUAAGGCUUAUCUCCUAAGCCCGUCAAAAGGAGAAAAGCUGUAAAAGAGUGGUUGACCUUCACCUAUUGAAGGAAAUGCCUCUAGUGGAUGUCGGUGACCUCGUCAGAGGAAGAAGCUAAAAGUGGAUGUAGUCAAGAUUGACCGAACCACUCUAAAUCUUAGUUUGUAUUUACAUUCUGCUCUUUAUCUUAACUGCAAACUGCCUCCAUUGCUUUAUAUCAAUUAUACUUCUGUUUGCUCUCAAGUUAAAGAUCUUUUCAAAACAAUUUUCGUACGAAGUCUUUUUGAACCGAUGAAGGUUUUUCGCUGCACUAAUUCACCCCCACCCCCUCUUAGUGCCCUUGAUCCUAAUAGGUUCCAUCACUAAGUUACUUAAUUUAUAAUCCUAAGAAAAAAGUUAAUUCACCCAUUAAACUCAUUUUAAAUUCUUGGCUCAUACUAUUGGCAAAAGAUUCACAUAAAGACUCAUUUGUAGAACCAAAAAUAAUAUUAUCAACGUAAAUUUGAAUAAUAAGAUAAUUAUUUUUAAAAUAUUUAAUAAAUAAUGUAGAUCGACCUUACCUUUCAUGAAAUCAUUCUUAAUUAGAAAAGAACAAAGUCUCUCGUACCAAGCCCUUAGGGCUUGUUUCAAUCCAUAGAGAGCCUUAGAUAACUUAAAGACAUGAUUUGAAAAAAUAGCAUUCUCAAAUCCAGGUGGUUGUUCAGCAUAAACUUCUUCAGAAAUAAAGUCAUUAAGAAAAACACUUUUAACAUCCAUAUAAAAUAACUUAAAAUUAUUACAACUAGCAUCGUCAAGGAGUAUCCUUAAGGCUUCUAAUCUUGUCACAAGAGCGAAAGUUUCUUCAUAAUCGAUAUCUUCUUCUUGGUUGAAAUAUUUGGCCACUAAUCUAGCUUGGUUUUGAACCAUGAUACCAAGUUUAUCUUGCUUGUUUCUAAAGACCCAUUUAGUGCUAAUUAUAAUAUUGUUACUAAGUCUAGGAAUAAGCUUCCACACCUUAUUUCUCUCAAAUUGAUUUAACUCCUCAUGCAUUGCAAAAACCCAUGAUUCAUUUUUUACAGCAUCAUCAAUGCAUUUCGAUUCAAUUUGAGACAAAAAGUCUGCAUUCACACAAAAGAUUUUAAAAGAGGAACGAGUUUGAAUAUCUUUUGAGGUAUCUCUAAUAAUUAGCUCUUUAGGAUGAGCAUCUACAUACUUUCAUUCCUUGGGUAAAGAUUCUUUAGAAGUAGAUCCAUCUAAGUUGCUACGGAGAGGAAAAUUUUCAUUUAAAUUUAAAGUAUCAAAAUCAAAAUCAAACUCAUCAUCAAAAUCAUUUUUCUUAAAUUCAAAAAUCUCAUUAAAAACAAUAUGGAUGGAUUCCUCAAUAACUAAAGUUCUUUUAUUAAAAACAUGAAAAGCUUUAGAAAUAAAGGAAUAUCUAUUGAAUCUCGAAUUUUGAUGAUGAAACCAAUCGAUAAGUGUUUAUGUUUUAAAUUACAUUUUGAGUGAUGCAGGAUGCUUCGAUCAGGAUGAGACAAUUAAAGUAGAAAAUAUCAUGUUGGACCAAAGGAACAUGUUAGAAGAUUGGACAUCGGGUCGGUGGAUCGGUUGACGUAUCGAUAGAAGGCUUUGGACCGUGGAUUUGGGUAUCGGGCCAAGAAGAGCAAAUAUUACGUCAAGGAUAUCGAAGUUGCGGAGUCAACUGGCUGAUUGGGCAAUAGGCCACAAGAGAGGACGAUGCGCCGAAGAAUCAAAUGAAGCGUCGAGGGACCAAUGACAUUCUGGACAACAUGAUUAUUGCAUAGUAUUAAUUGUCUAGAUCGAAGUAUGUUUUACAUGUGCAGGAUUAACUACGAUAGCAAGGCAUGAAGCAAAAUGAAGUCCGGAUUCAAGGACGCGAUCACGUUGGGAGUUCGAGUUCGUUGGAAGUCCGGACGUUCAGCGGAAGUUCUGGAGGAACCAACCGAGAAGUCUCAGAGCUUACCAAAGAAGCUCAUCGGAACUCACCAAGAAGAUCAUCAUGAAGUCCAGGAGCUUGCCGGGAGUCCGCCAGAACAUUAUCGAGAGAUCGUUGGAAGUUUGUUGGAAGCUCGUCGAAAGAAUAGAUUUACGGACUUUGUUUAGCUUAGAAUAUAUCAUAAGAAUCAUAGUUAGCACGUAAUUGGGAUUGGAUUUGGGCCAACCCAAUUAGGGGCCAGCUAGGCCCAUGUAAGAACUGUGUUGGGCCCAAUAAGAAGCCCAAAAAGUACCCCAAGAAAUCUCAUCGUCAUGGCAUAGUCUUCGAGGCUGUGUCAGGCGGUGGUACCGCCUAGGAUAGUGUUAGUGUCGACUGACAUUGGGCGGUGGUACCACCCGUGCCCGGGGAACCCAGGAUGGGAAAGUUUUAGGCUCCAAGUUCGAAUCAACUUGAAGCCUAUAAAUACCCCUGUCAUCUCUGGUUAAAACACACAAGCACAAAGUAUUCAAAAGUGAUAAAACGUUGCUGCAAUCUCUAGAAUUCCCUCUACUCUAAGUGUUAGAAUUAUAUUCAAGAGAGGAGAGUGAGUGCUUGUAAGGGUUAUCUCCUAAAUCUAUGAAAAGGAGAAGAGGGGUGUAAAAGGUGAUUGGCUUUCAUCUGUUGAAGGAAGGCCUAUAGUGGACGCCGAUGACCUCAUCGGAGGAGGAAGCCGAAAGUGGAUGUAGGUCACGUUGACCGAACCACUCUAAAAUCUAGUUUGCAUUUACAUUUGUGCAAUUUAUCUUUACUGCAAACCUCUUUAAGUGCUUACUACCUUCAUUACUUUUACGAACUCGCUUUCAAGUUAAGUUUCUGAAAAUGGUUUUACGUCAGAAAUGGUUUUAUCGUACGAAAAUUUUUAAACCGUCGUUAUCCUACCGCUGCACUAAUUCACCCCCCCUCUUAGUGCCGACCCCUGAUCCUAACAAUAUCCAAGAAAGAUACCUUUAUUGGAUUUUGUAUCAAAUUUUCCUAAUGCAUCCUUUACAUUUAAAAUAAAGCAUUUACAACCAAAAACUUUGAAAUAUGAUAUAUUGGGUCUUUUAUUGUUUCACAAUUCAUAGGGAGUUUUAGAUAUGAGAGGUUUUACAAUAACCUUGUUCAUGACAUAGCAUGUCAUGUUAACAGCUUCAGCCUAAAAAUAGUUGGGUAAACUAUAUUAGUUUAACAUGGUUCUUAUCAUCUCUUGUAAACUCCUAUUUUUAAUAUGGUUCUUGAAGUAGAGAAAUUAUGGUUAUACCUAUUUAAAUCAUAAAAAAGUUAAAAAUCAUGGUUUUGAAAUUCACUAUCUAAUCACUUUGAAUAGAUGAAAUCAUAAAAUACAUUUCAUUUUGAACUGGUUUACAAAAUUUUAAAAAAUAUUUAAAGCAAUCACUUUUAUGUGCCAAGAAGAAUGUCCAAGUAUAUCUACUAUAAUCAUCAACUAUCACAAUAGCAUAUUUACUACCUCCUAAACUUGUGAUAUCAAUUGGUCCAAAUAAAUCAAUAUGAAUUAAUUGUAGUGGUCUAGAGGUGCUUAUUUAAUUUUUAGAUUUUAAGUUACUUUUUAUUUGUUUACCUAGUUGACAUGCAUCACAAACUUUAUCGUUGACAAAUUUCUUGCUAUGCAUUCCUCUUACGAGUUCUUUUGUUAUAAUUUAUGAGAUUAGUUUCAUGGUAGCAUGACCUAGUCUCCUAUGCCAAAGUCAUGCAUCAUCGUUUAAAGCGGAAAAACACCUUUCGUCAUAAAAAAUCAUCAAUAGCAUGCAUAUUAUUAUUUCUUAAGGUAGUCAUAGAUCUUUUUUCGUGUGAUAUUUCUAUUAUGCAAGCAUUAGAUUCAAAUUUGAUGAUAUAUCCUUUAUCACACAAUUGACUAAUGCUCAGUAGAUUAUGUUUUAAACCAUCUACUAAUAACACAUCUUCAAUCAAGAGAUUUAACUUAUUACCUAUGAUUCCUUUGUUAAUAAUUUUUCCCUUGUUAUUGCCUCCGAUUGUGACAUAUCCUUCGUCUUAGCUAGUGAGCUUAGAGAACUGUAUUAGAUCUCCGGUCAUAUGUCUUGAGCAUCCACUAUCAAGGUACCAUCUUUUGCUCCUAGCUUUUAAUUGUAAACACAUCUACAAUAAAGAGGGUUUUCUUUUAGGCACAUAUUUAAUUUUGGGUUCCUCAUGAAUAGAUUUACCUAUCUUAACUAUUGGUAUUGGGUUGUUUAUUGUUCUUUCAGGAACCCAAACUAAUUUGUGUGAGAUAUAUUUUUUAAAUGAACAUUUAUAAGCAAAAUAUCCACAUUUACCAUAAAAAAAUAUAUUUAUUUUCAUGGGAAACAUGUAAUGUGGGUCCUUUAACAAAUAAAGUCAAUUUUUGUUGAGUGUUUCUACUCACAAAAUCGAUUCCUACUUUUCUAUGUACAUGACCUUUAUUUGCAAGGAUCAUUUUACUUUGAUGUUGGAAAUUUUGUGCUUUGAUGCUAAAAGUUUCCAUAAUGAUGAGCAUGUUAUACUUUCAUGAUUGUGAUUUGAGAAGUUUUAAUCAUACAUCAGAUUCUUAAUCUUUGAGCACUACAAAGCACUGAUGAUUUUACCUUCAUGAUUGUGAUUAAAAAGCUAUGACAAAACAUUGUCCGAAUGCAUGAUUUUAUUUCUCUUCGGGACUUAAUGUAGUUCUUGAAUAGAGCUUUCAUGAGCCUAUGUCAUAUCAAAUUUAUUUCAUAUCCAUGCUCCAUCACUAAAUGAUUUUUGAUACAUGCAAUUAAUUGACAAAUGCAUCUCUCAUAGACUUAUCUUUUGUGAAUUUUUUUUUAAAAAUGGAUUUGAUGUAAUGAUUCUCUCACAUGAAUUCCUUCUUGAUAAAGGAAGAUUUUUUGAGAUGAACACUUGCAAGGAUUUAAUUUCACAUAUAUAUCUUGAUCCUUGUGAAAAAUGAAGCAUAAUGAAACUCUCUUAUCGAUCUUAACUUCAUUUAAAGUUGGUUCUCAAUGGCUUUACUUUCCUUACUUUCCUCCUCCAUGCAAAGCCUUGAUGAUAAAUAAAAGGGAAGAAGUAAUGAAAGCUAUCUCCUUAAUGUUGAGAACUUUUGAAUGAUACCAUAUCAUGAAUGCUUGAAAUAUGAUUGGUAUGAUUUUGUGACAUGAAUUUUUACCACACUUGCAUAUAUUGUUGAAUCAUUCUCCUUUUUGUUGAUGACAAAGGGGGAGAAAUAUGUGAUAAAUUGAUGAUAAAUGUAUGUAAUUUUAUACUUGAAAUGUUUGCAUUAUGAUAAAAAAUCUAGAGCUUAAUUUGAAAUAUUACAAAUUGAUAUCUUGUCAUGCCUUGACAUCAUUUUCAAAAAGUUACAUCAUGAUAAGAAUCAUGAUGGGUGUAUUAAUAAGUUUAAAUGAACUUAACUUAUCAAUAUGUCUCUUGAAUUCAAAAGCUUUGAAUUCAAAGAAUGACAUUUCUCAAGUAUGGCAUAUAGAUAGGGGGAGUUAAGGUUAACUCCGUCAUCAAUUGAUUGUCAUCAUCAAAAAAGGAGAGAUUGUUAAAUCUCGGAUUUUGAUGAUGAAGUCAAUCGUCAUUUGUUUAACUAAUCUAUAUGUUGAGAAAAGUGUGCAGGAUUAAUUACGAUGACAGUAAGGCAUACAGUAGGUGUUAUGUAGGAGUCAAGAUCAAGAUCACAUUAGGAGCCUGAGAGUUCGUUGGAAGUCCGGACGUUCAUCGAAAGUUCUGCAAGAACCAGCCGAGAAGUCCAGGAGCUUGCCAUAGAAGCUCAUCGGAACUCGCCAAGAAGAUCGUCGCAAAGUCCAGGAGCUUGCUAGGAGUCUGCCGAAGCAUCGCCGAGGGUUCGUCGAAUGUUCGCCGGAAGUUCGCUGGAAGCUUACCGAAAGAGCGAUUGAUGCACCAAAACAUGAAUUGCAAUAAUGAUGUCUUAAUUAUCAGAGUUAGAGUGUAGAUUAAGUUAGGAUUGGGAGGUGAUCCCACUAACUUAAUCAUGGGCCAACUAGGCCUUUAACAGACCCAAAUUGGGUCGAAUGGAACAGCACAUUCGGCCCCUGAAAUCCUGGCCGACUGUGGCACCGCUUGGGAGACUCGAUCUCCCAGGAUUUCUGGGCAAUGAUACCGCCCCUGCCAGGCGGUGGUACCGCCAGCAAUUAUUACUGCCAGCGAUGGUACUGCCCCUGUCAGGCAGUAGUACCGCCUGAGCUCGGUCUUCGAGCAUUGUCAGGUGGUAGUACCACCCAAAUUGAGCGAUAGUACUGCUCAGUGUCCGAUGACAAGCGGUAGUACCACCCAGCAAUGGUGGUGGUACCGUCAGAACCCCGAAAAUCCAGGAAUAUAUACUUUUAGGCUCUAUUUUUGAACUCAUUGGGGUCUAUAAAUACCCCACCCUUUCCUGCAUGAAAGGGCAACGAAAUUCUUGAAAUACUCUUGAGUCUUGAGGCCUUAAAGUGUUGUAAAAGCUAGAGUUCUCCUCCUCCUUUCUUCUAAGUGUUGAGAUCAUUCAAGAGAGGAGUGAAACUUGAAAGGGUUGUCUCCUAAGCCCAUCAAAAGGAGAAAAGCUAUAAAAGGGUGGUUGGCCUUCGCCUAUUGAAGGAAGGCCUCUAGUGGAUGCCGGUGACCUCGUCGUUGGAGGAAGCCAAUAGUGGAUGUAGGUCACGUUGACCGAACCACUCUAAAAUCUCAGUUUGCAUUUACUUUGAGCAUCUUUCCUUACUGUGCUUUAAAUAGGUCUACAUUCGCUUUGACGUAAAACAUCUUUCGAGAUUGGCUUUCUACGAAGACUUUACGAAAUCUACGUUUUUGUGAUUUACAUCUAAUGAACUACUUACCUCAUCUCCGAUAGUCAUUAGUGCGUAGUGAGCAACUUGCUCGGUGUUGGUUGGCUCCUCUUCUUCGGAUGCACUUGAGUCAUCUCAUAUUGUUUUAAGAAUCUUCUUCUUCUUUGGUUGCUUCUUCUUUGCUAUGGGACAUUCGCUCUUGAAAUGUCCUGGCUUCUUACAUCCGUAGCAUAUUACUUAUUCUUUUUUGGAUUCAAAUUUAUUUUUAGUGUCAUUUUUAAAUUUAUUUUUUUUAUAAAUUUUUUGAACUUUCUUGUUAAGAGUGUCAAGUCAUCAUCAAAGUCCUCAUCACUUGAAUUUUCUUUCAAGUGGUCUUCUUGAGUUCUUAGUGUCAUAUCCUUUCUAUUCUUUGGAAUGUUGUUCUAAAGCUCUUCAUGAGUAUUACAAGUCAUCUCAUAGGUCAUUAGUGACCCGAUUAGUUCUUCGAGAGGAAAGUUAUUUAAAUCCUUGGCCUCUUGGAUGGUCGUUACUUUAGGGUCUCAACUCUUUAGAAGGGAUCUUAAAAUUUUAUUAACAAGUUCAGAAUCUGAGAAACUUUUACCAAGUCCUUUUAAACCAUUGACGACAUCCGUAAAUCGGGUGUACAUGUCUCCAAUGGUCUCACUCGGUUUCAUUCAAAAUAAUUCAUAAGUAAGGACUAAAAGAUUAAUUUUUGACUCCUUUACUUUACUAAUGCCUUCAUGAGUAACUUUGAGUGUGUGCCAAAUAUCAAAAGUCGUUUCACAAAUGAACACUCAAUUGAACUCAUUUUUAUCCAAAACACAAAAUAAGGCAUUCAUAGCCUUGGCAUUUAAAGCUAAAGUCUUCUUCUCCAACUUAUUUCAAUCGCUUAUUGGAAGAGAAGACUUUUGAAAACCAUUUUCUAUAAGAUUUCAUAACUCAAAAUCCAUUGAAAUUAGAAAAAUCAUCAUUCUAGUCUUCCAAUAGGUGUAAUCCAUUCCAUUAAAUAUGGGCAGACGUGUGAUUGAAUGACCCUCUUGGUUGCCGGAAAAUGCUAUCUCUCUUGGGUUUCAAACCAAAUGAGAGUGACCGAGCUCUAAUACCAAUUGUUAGGAUCAAGAGUGACACUAAGAGGGUGAAUUAGUGCAACGAAAAAAGUGUUGAUUCCGAAAAAUAUUUAUUUCGAUUUAAUCCGUUUCAGAAAGAAACUAGACUUAAAAGCUUUCAUAAGAGUGCAAAGAGAGGGUUAAGGAAGUCUGCAGUAAUGUAAAUUGUACAAAUAGAAAAGCAAACCAGAAUUUAGAGUGUUUCAGUCGUUGCAACCUACAUCCACUUUCGAUUUUUCCUCCGUCGAGGUCAUCAAUGUCCACUAAUGGUCUUCCUUCAAUAGGCGAAGACCAACCACCUCUUUAUAGUGCUUUCUCCUUUUCACGGUUAGGAGAUAACCCUUAUAAGUCUCAUACCUCUCUUGAAUGAUCACAAUACUUAGAAAGGGAGGAGUACCACCACUGGCAGCUUUAACUGUCGACAGUACCACCGUUAAGAACACCUGGGAGACCAGGUCUACCAGGCAGUGCCACCAUCGAUCGUGAUUUCAGGUGUUGAAUGGAUUGUUCAAUCUGGCCCAAUUCAGCCUUGUUGAGGGCCUAGUUGACCCUUGACCAAGUUAGUGAGAUUACCUCAUAAUCAUAACUCAACUAAUGUUCUAACUAUGAUUAAGGCAAGCAAUUAGUCUGAUAUGUCGAUUUUUUUUUUCAACGAACCUCUGGUGAACUUCUCAGCGAAACUUCCGAUGAGCUUCCUGUCACGCCCCUCAAAAAUUUCCAUGAUUUUAAAAUUUUCAACACAAACCAAUCCAGGAUCCAAACACACAUUUGAGGACACUGAAAAACAUUCUAUCAAAUUCACAUCUAUAAAACCUGUGCAGUUUAUAAUCAUAUAUCACAUCACUCGAUAAUUCACAUUUAUGGCAACCCAAGCCAACUUGACAAACAUGAACAACAUUUAUAAAUCCACAAGCUAAAUAAAUUAUACAAUCAGAACUCCAACUAUUCACCACAAGUUCAUAUCAUCAUAAACUAGAUUUAACAUUCCGAAAUUCCAAAUUAGAGAGAUCUUCUAACACUUUUACAAGGUAUAUCCAUUUCGGUUCAUCGACAACAUUUCAUUUCAUACAAAAUAUGCUUAUACAACAAUAACAUAAUAACCAACAAGACUUGCCCAUAAUUCUGAAUAGCUCUCCACUGCCUCAGCCCAAUUCAAACAUCUCAGAGAGUGACAAACUGACCUGAAAGAUUUAUAUAACAACGAAGUGAACUAAAAACAGCUCAGCAAGUGACAAAGCAUAUCUAGCACAAAAAGUGACAGUUUCAAACGAACAAGAUAUCACAAUGCAAGAAAGAAUCCAAGAGAUACAAGGAUAUCAUCUCAUUAGAUACAGAAUCGUAAAUGUCAUUUCAUUCAUAACAUAUUGGAUUCAUAACAAAUGGAGCAUAGAGUAAUUGGAGCAUAUCAAUAGCAUACGAGAUGUUCCGGAGCAUAUCAAUUGCAAAUAGGAUAUUUCAGAACAUAUUAGUUCAUAGCAAAUAGAGCAUAGAGUAAUUGGAGCAUAUCAAUAGCGUAUGAAAUGUUCCGGAGCAUAUCAAUGACAUAUAGAACAUUUCGAAGCGUAACAAUAACAAAUGAAACAUUUCGGAGCAUAUCAAAGGCGUAUGAAAUGUUUCGGAGCAUAUCAAUGACAAAUGAAAGAUUUCAGAACAUAUCAAUGGCAUAUGGACCAUUUCGAAGCAUAUCAAAGAACGAAUACGAAAUAGAAGCUCAAACGUCGUACCCUAGCAUAAUGCAUGUGAGGUUUAACUCAGUGGUGGCUCCACGCCGUGAUGAGUUCUCGACUCCAUCCACGGGUAGCCCUUUCCUACUCGAGCCCUCUCACCCUACCCAAGUGCUAGGUCGGCUCUAAAUUUCAUAUCAAACAGAUAGAUGGUGAAGUGGGAUUCCAAACAUAAUAUGGUCCAUCCAUUUCUGAAUGACCACCAAACAUAAUCUAGAGCAUCGCGGGCUCUAAGCACAUACCCUUUACCAUUUCUGGCAAAGGUCCAAAUAAUCCCACAAACACCAGAGUACAAAAAGGUAUUGUGAACAAUAAAUUGGGACAUAUCAGAAGCACAUGCGGAACAAUGAAAUGUAUAUGUGCCUUUAUGAAACAUUACGAUACAAACAUGAUGUUUACAUAACAGAUUUAGGUAUCCAAAUACAUGUAGGACAAGAGCAUAUAAGAAUUCAAAGCAGUAAUAUAAAGUUCAAUUGAAUAAGAAAGCUAAAGGAUAUCAAUUUCCAAAGGAAUGAAACCAGAAUAUGUGAAAUCGAUCAAAGCUCGAUUUCUGGUAGAAUUCAAGAGGCACAUUGAAUAAAUGAUUUAAACUGUCAAUCGUGCUCCAAUUUACUCAGAAAUGUAUCAUUGGAAAGAUAUUUCAACUUACUUUCAGAUAGAAUAAGUCUCGUAUGAAUCGAAGUUUCCAACAAAGAGUUACAAUAGAUUUAGUAACCCAAGAUCAAAGAACAAAUCUCAAUUUUACAGAAUUCACAAGGUCGGUUUCAACAGAAAACUGGGCAGGCAUUUGGACUCUAAAUCUUUCAAUCCAGGUAUCAAAGAAAGAUCUACAAGUCUAGUUUCCAAUGAAAUAAGCUUUGAACAAAUCGGAGUUUCCAACAUCGACUUAUAGCCAGAUCAGUAUCAAAAGGUCAGAAAUUAUGAUCCCUAUUUUGCAGAAUCUGUAGGCUCAUUUGAAACAGA